GAUGAACGCUGGCGGCGUGCCUAACACAUGCAAGUCGAGCGACCAGACGGGGAGAUCGCGCUCUUGAGGUUAGCGCGUGACGGGCGGGUAACACGUGCAUAACAUACUACUAAGACUGGGAGAAUUACGGGAAACAGCAGAUACUACUACCUAAUAUCUCGUACCGCUUGGAUCAAUAGUGAUUGAGGCCUUUGGCGUUUCAUUUAGCUGGAUUCGCGCUGCAUUAGCUAGUUGGUAAGGUAACGGCUUACCAACGCAACGAAGCGUAGCUGACCUGAGAGGAUGAUCAGCCACACUGGAACUGAGACACGGUCCAGACUCCUACGGGAGGCAGCAGUAGGGAAUCUUCCGCAAUGGGCGAAAGCCUGACCUAGCAACACCGCGUGAGUGAUGAAGGUCUUCGGGUCGUAAAGCUCUGUUGUUGGGAAAGAACAAAAGUGGGAGAAGCUAUGCACGUCUUGACGGUACCUAAACAAAAAGCCACGGCUAACUACGUG
rnacentral:rRNA from 1 species